CCGGCCAAACGCGAACGAUCAGUGAUGGCCGCGGGGCUGCUAAGGUGCGGAUCGUAUUGACGUCAGACCGGCUCGCUUAUUUAUUAUAACGCUUUCAUUUUUAUCUCUCCUUAGUUUUUCUAAUAUGUGAUAGAUUCUUGUUUAAUCCAUAAAUCGUUGAUAGAAUAAACGAAUAUCAUUCGUCGCGAUUUGAUCGGGAAUUAAAACUGUGUUAGAAUUUUUUAAAAAGGUUUACAUAGGAGCCAUCGGAACGCCAUCCACAUUUUCUGAUCUUUCAACCUUGUUCGAGUACUACUUUGAUUUUUCCAACUUUUCCAAUGCUUUUUAUUCCCUUGUGAGCUGCGUGCCACUAUCUCGAUGACAUUUGUGUAUGCAUUUAACGAACCGAGAUUUAUUUAAAUGUAGUAGGAACGAGGGUGUUUUCAACGUUUGGAAAGCUUUUUUUCGCUAUCUAACAAGUAUACAGGAAAAUGGCGGAAGAGGGUGCAGGAGGUUCUACCAAUAGCAGUACCGGCGAAGCCAGCAGAUUGCAGCUUUUACAAGAAAUGCGACAACAAAAUUUUGACAGUAUACGAUUCGCUUCUUAUCGUACCGCUUGCAAGCUUAGAUUUAUUCAGAAGAAAGUUCAUCUACACAAUGUGGACAUAUGGAAUGUGAUCGAAGCUUUUCGAGAAAACGGCCUAAAUACUCUAGAGCCGUCGAGUACGUUGGGAGUAUCUAGGCUAGAAACUCUCCUGUCUUCCUUAUUUCAUGCGCUUAACAAGAGGGUGCCGGUGUCUCAACAAGCUAAAGUCGACGCUACCACCGCUCUCUUGAUGAAUUGGCUCUUGGCAGCGUAUACCAGUGGGGAAAAUAAUAAGAUAUCCGUAUUUUCGGUGAAGGUGGCAUUGGCCACGUUGUGCGCUGGAAAACUCAUGGACAAGUUUCGAUACAUAUUUUCACAAAUAUCAGACGGUAAUGGACACAUGAUACACUGGAGGUUUGCUGAUUAUUUGAAAGAAGUUUUAGCAUUAACUGCAGCAGUAUACGAGUCACCGUCUUUCGGAUAUUCGGAUGGUCUAGCAAAUACCAUUUUUCCUCCUAAUUCGAAAGUAACGGUUAAUGAUUUUCUGGAUACUCUCAUGUCCGAUCCCGGUCCUCACUGUUUGAUCUGGCUCCCGUUAUAUCACAGAAUGGCGGCCGUUGAAACGGUGGCUCAUCCAAUCAUGUGCGAUGCCUGUCACAAGGAAAACUUUACCGGUUUCCGAUACAGAUGUCAAAAGUGUCAUUCUUAUCAAUUAUGUCAGGAUUGUUUUUGGCGUGGUAAAGUUUCCGGGACACACAACAACGAUCACGAGACCAGAGAGUACAGUAGCUUUAAAUCACCCAGUAAACAAAUUGGCCAUUCUUUGCGGAAAAGCUUCAGAUGCGUUCCAGAAAAAGGAAAAAACAGUAUACCAAGAUUCCCCGAACAACCGGAAAAGACAUUGGACCUGUCGCACAUAGUCCCACCGUCGCCUUUACCAUCUCACAACGGUUUUCCAGAUCCAGGUUUCAUGGCACCGUUCGAUUCCGGAUCCAUGGAUAGCCGAUCAACCUUGAGAAGUAUGGAUAGUUCAAGACUGGACGACGAACAUAAAUUAAUAGCACGAUAUGCACAAAGGUUGGCACAAGAAGCUAGGACUAUGCCUCGUACUGCGUCCAGAAUGUCGCAAGCUGACCAAUCGGGUAGAACACCGUCUGACGCCAAUUUGGUAUCGUUGGAUGCAUCGAGGGCUCAACGUGAACUUAUAUCGCAGUUAGAAGCGAAGAAUAAAGAAAUAAUGCGAGAAAUUGCAAGGUUAAGGAGACAACAAGAGAUAGAAGCGGCAGGAUUGGAGAAUCCUGCAUUAAUGUCUGAAUUGAGAGCUUUGAGGCAGAGGAAGGACGAAUUGGAGACUCAUUUAGCUACGUUGCAAGAUUCCAGGAGACAAUUAAUGGUUCAAUUAGAAGGUCUUAUGAAAAUGUUGAAGAAUCAUCAAGCGUCUCCUAGAUCAACACCAAACAGUUCACCGAGGAGUACAAAAUCACCUCCUUUACCACCUGGUACAGUGACAAGUAGCAGAUCAGCUCCAGCCACUCCUGGUGGAACAUUGUCAACUACUCCCCAACAGCAACAACAGCAACCACAACAACAACAGCAACAGCAACAGCAGCAGCAACAACAGCAACAGCAAAACCCACAGAGUCAAAUGUCCCAAAGCUACCAGACUUCUGUACCAACUACAUCGGUACCAAACAUGUCGGGCAGUGCAAUGCUUGGGACAAUACAGAAUCCUAUUCCAGAUAGUCUUUCGUGUGUUGGAGGCGACGUAAGGUCUGCGUUCAGGACAAACAGCCUGCCAGGAAGCGGUUCCAGCAGUGCGAAUAAUAGUUUGGGCCGAUCCUUAAGGAACGAUCUGUUGGUAGCUGCCGACAGUGUUACUAAUGCCAUGUCAACGUUGGUCAGGGAAUUAAAUUCAGAAUAAUCGUUUAUGUAUAAACGUGCAUAAUAACAAAAAGGAAGCGAAGGCUUGUUUAGAAAAAACAUAAAAAAAAGAAAAAAAAAGAUUCUACGACCGCUCGUCAUUUCUGCAGCAAGCAGCAUGAGUCUAUCUUACAAUUUAGUAUUAUUAAAGGGACGAUUUCGAGGCCGGUGAAGACGGUGAUGACAGCAGCGGUGGCGGAAAUUCUUGGCGCGAAGAACUUCAACGUCGUUAUCAA
rnacentral:misc_RNA from 1 species